rnacentral:rRNA from 1 species
GAGACAGCAGCAGCCGCGGUAAUACAGAGGGUGCGAGCGUUAAUCGGAUUUACUGGGCGUAAAGCGUGCGUAGGCGGCUUUUUAAGUCGGAUGUGAAAUCCCUGAGCUUAACUUAGGAAUUGCAUUCGAUACUGGGAAGCUAGAGUAUGGGAGAGGAUGGUAGAAUUCCAGGUGUAGCGGUGAAAUGCGUAGAGAUCUGGAGGAAUACCGAUGGCGAAGGCAGCCAUCUGGCCUAAUACUGACGCUGAGGUACGAAAGCAUGGGGAGCAAACAGGAUUAGAUACCCCGGUAGUCCCUGUCUCUUAUAC